rnacentral:rRNA from 1 species
UGCAAGUCGAACGGUAACAGGGUGCUUGCACCGCUGACGAGUGGCGAACGGGUGAGUAAUAUAUCGGAACGUACCUAGUAAUGGGGGAUAACUAUCCGAAAGGAUAGCUAAUACCGCAUACGCCCUGAGGGGGAAAGAGGGGGAUCGCAAGACCUCUCGUUAUUAGAGCGGCCGAUAUCAGAUUAGCUAGUUGGUGAGGUAAAGGCUCACCAAGGCCACGAUCUGUAGCGGGUCUUAGAGGACGAUCCGCCACACUGGAACUGAGACACGGUCCAGACUCCUACGGGAGGCAGCAGUGGGGAAUCUUGGACAAUGGGCGCAAGCCUGAUCCAGCAAUGCCGCGUGCGUGAAGAAGGCCUUCGGGUUGUAAAGCGCUUUUGUUCGGGAGGAAAUCCUAUGGGCUAAUACCUUUUGGGGAUGACAGUACCGGAAGAAUAAGGACCGGCUAACUACGUGCCAGCAGCCGCGGUAAUACGUAGGGUCCAAGCGUUAAUCGGAAUUACUGGGCGUAAAGGGUGCGCAGGUGGUUGAUUAAGUGUGAUGUGAAAGCCCCGGGCUCAACCUGGGAAUUGCAUUGCAAACUGUUCAACUAGAGUAUGGCAGAGGGGGGUGGAAUUCCGCGUGUAGCAGUGAAAUGCGUAGAGAUGCGGAGGAACACCGAUGGCGAAGGCAACCCCCUGGGCUAAUACUGACACUCAUGCACGAAAGCGUGGGGAGCAAACAGGAUUAGAUACCCUGGUAGUCCACGCCCUAAACGAUGUCUACUACUUGUUGGGGGAUUCCUUCCU